rnacentral:siRNA from 1 species
AACUCUUCCAAAAGCACCUACUGC